rnacentral:rRNA from 1 species
GAUGAACGCUGGCGGCGUGCUUAACACAUGCAAGUCGAACGAGAAUCAACGGAUUGAGGAUUCGUCCAAAUGAAGUUGAGGAAAGUGGCGGACGGGUGAGUAACGCGUGAGGAACCUGCCUCGGAGUGGGGGAAUAACAGUUGGAAACAGCUGCUAAUACCGCAUAAUGCAACGGAAUCGCAUGACUCUGUUGCCAAGGAUUUAUCGCCCUGAGAUGGCCUCGCGUCUGAUCAGCUAGUUGGUGGGGUAACGGCCUACCAAGGCGACGAUCAGUAGCCGGACUGAGAGGUUGAACGGCCACAUUGGGACUGAGAUACGGCCCAG